UACGUAGGGUGCAAGCGUUGUCCGGAAUUAUUGGGCGUAAAGAGCGUGUAGGCGGCCAGGUAGGUCUGCUGUGAAAACUCGAGGCUUAACCUCGAGCUGUCGGCGGAAACCAUCUGGCUAGAGUCCGGAAGAGGAGAGUGGAAUUCCUGGUGUAGCGGUGAAAUGCGCAGAUAUCAGGAAGAACACCAAUGGCGAAAGCAGCUCUCUGGGACGGUACUGACGCUGAGACGCGAAAGCGUGGGGAGCGAACAGG
rnacentral:rRNA from 1 species